GCGGGAAAAGAUCUUAACCCGUGAUUGCUGGGACUGGCUCAAGCUCCACCAGGAGCCGUCGUUCUUUUACAAAGAGGGGUGGAGGUUCCAGUGGAGGCUGUUGUUGCCUUUUUUUUUUUUUUUUUAAUGAAUGGAGGGCGGCGGCGACUGCUGCAGCUGGGCCAGCUGCGCGGGCUGCACCCCCUCCCAGCCUGCGAGAGGAGGAAGCUAGUAGAAGAUUUGUACCAACAAAACCAAGGAGUAAACAACUUGAGAAUAACUGCAUGAGCUCAGGGCUUGGACUGUCAGAUUCCAUUUCUAAGCUUCCAGAAGAGCGACACAUAGACACUGGGGAAGUCAGAGCCUUUGAACUCCAAUGCCAUCCCCGUCACCCACCUCCACCACCAGCACCACCACCGAAUGGCACUUUGGACAAUUUUUCCCUCUCAUGUGACUUUUGUCAUUUCUUACGUCAGUUGGAGCCAGCACCUCUCAAAUCCAUCUUCUAAAACCCAGAAAAUUGUGUGUAACACAUGAUGACUGAAAGGGAGUAGGCUGACCAGUUAAGAGCCUGCCACUGGAAUGGAAGGCUGUGGGAAGGUGAGGGGACGGUGGACAUCAACCGGGAAGAGCUGAAAGAUGGCGUUACCAGAGUGGACUACUACAUGGCCAGUAAAGAAAAGAACAA
rnacentral:lncRNA from 10 species